ACAUGGAGGAAGAAGCAGGCUGGGAGGAAAGGAGAGCCACCAGAUCACAUAAUCUAGAAGAUCCUGUGUGGAACAGAGACUCAGAGCUCAAAUGUGAACAAGAAAUCCACUUUGUUCUUCUAAGCCAUGAGGAUCAUUUGCCAUAAUACAGACCACACCCAGAUGAUCACCAGAACUAUAGCAGGAGAAUAAAAGAUACGGGCUCAUGGAACCAAAGACAGAGUGACCAACUCCGCACCUGAGUGGCAUGAAGACCCUAAAACCUUCAGUUAGUCCUCUGUGACUCGACUUUCUUGUCUGUAAGCUGUGGGUAACAAGAAAUCCACCAGAGAGGUGGAUCUCAAUUACUUCUCUACUGCUGUGAUGAAACACCAUGACCAAAGCAACCUGACGGGAAAGGGUUCACUUGGCUUACACGUCCAUCCCAUAGUCAGUCACUGGAAGGAGUCAGGGCAGGAACCUGGAGGCAGGA
rnacentral:lncRNA from 1 species